GGCAGAGUGGAGCAGUCGGAAGCUCGCAAGGUUCAUACCCUUGAGGUCACCGGUUCAAGUCCGGUCUCUGCAACCA
rnacentral:tRNA from 1 species